rnacentral:lncRNA from 1 species
GAAUCAGACAACUUUAAACUAAUGUAACUUCGUUCAUCCAGCUUUAUAUUGUAUAAAUAAGGUACCAACAGGACGAAGAAAGAAUAUUUAUUUCAGAUGGUGAUAAUUUCAUUUUGACAUGAUUAGUACAUAAUUAAUUAUUAUGUAAUUAGUUGGUAUAGAAAAAAGUAAAAUCACAAAAAUACUGAACUUACAGGAAAAUCAAUUCGGAAAGUCCAUAACAAUAGGGUGAUGUUCACACUUGAAUGAAACAAGUUUCUUUUUUGUCCAUAGCAUCUCAAAAUACUUUAUAGAUUCUUGUUGAUCACAGUUUGACCGUCAAAAGAGUGUCUCGGAUUGUGCCUGUUGUAUGUCAUUCUCUCAUAAACCGUCAAUAAAGUUUGCAACCUCAAUUAAUAAAAACAUACUUAAUUUUAUUGGGUAUACAAUUUAUUCUAUUGAUGUUUUUUAAGAUACAUUGGUCAAGUGUGAAAAUCAAGCAUAUAGGGGCACCCAUCUAGGAGCUAAUUUUAUUUAAAACUACAUUUUCAUGACAAAAUGAAUGUGUCACAAUUGAAUAAAUAUGUAUUUUCCUAUUAACUUCAAUAAUAUUCACACAUUUACCAUGUGGAUACUUCAGGAUUAGCCUUUAAUCACUAAUCACUUAGGUGUUGACCAGUAAAAUAAAUAAAGAAAAUGCCCCUCUAUGCAUCAGAAAUCAUAUUUGGCGGAAAAUGUUAAAUCGUUAUUGACCUUGCUGUAUGUCACAACUCCGCCCACCAUGAAACUAUUAAGGAUAUCAGAAGUUUAUUUACACAUUGCAUUUACUGUUUUCAAUAUGGAUUUUAUUCAUUUAGUAAAUAAAAUAAUAUAUUUUGUUUUUCUUUAUAGUUACAUUUUUUUUUUUUCAUUUUUGCAGUUGGAAAAUGAAAUAUUUAAUUUGUAUUUUCUUUUAGAAAUAAUGUAUAUUUAAAUAUUCUCCCAUAGAAACUCUAGAAUAAACAUCAGAAACAUUAAUUGUUGUACAAAUACAUUUGAUUAGUAUCGAUACAUCUAAAUUUUAAAUCCCGCUUAUUUUCGAAAUUGUUGUGUUUUUUUUCUUUUGCCAGCUCCAAUAUAGAAUGUAUUUUUAUUUGGAAUUCAGUAUUUUCAUUUUUUCAUUAAUCCCUGAUCCACCUCUUUCUCAAAACUGUUAUUUCUAUUGAUGGUCAGUAGUCGUAAAGCUAUCAAAUGAUUCUAUUGAGUAACCACAAAGUACUGCCGACAUGUUCUUAACUUGUAUCAGCAAGAUAUGUGCAUUUGCUUAAAACACUUAUUAUCAUCAAAACUCAUUAACAGUUAUAGAUAUGUAAAUAUAUUUGUCUUCUAAUGUUUUGUUAUAUUAAGAAGUAUAACAAAAAAAAGCUGUAGAUGAAAUUUUGAUUAAAAAAAUGUGCUUUUGUAUUGUGCUACCUUAAAUGCACACUAAAGACAUUAUUUAUGUGUUUGGGAAUUGACUAUAAGAAUCUAUAAAAAAAAAAACACAUAACAAAAAUUAUAAUAAAUGCAAAUAAAUCCAUUCAAUGGUUUACUUACAAAGCAUCCGUGUAAGACUCAUAUCAUAUUGAUGAAAUCCAGUCAAUGGUUUACUUAUAAAGCAUCCAUGUAGGACUCAUAUCAUACUGAUGAAAUCCAGUCAAUGGUGUACUUAUAAAGCAUCCAUGUAAGACUCAUAAUGUUUAUGAAAUCAUCAAAUAUUUGUUCUAAUAGAUAAAAAUUGCACAAAGUAAGGUAAAGGCCAAGAAAAAAAAUAAAAAUUUAAUUGCCAUAUGAUAAAAACACUUGUUGAAGAUUAUUU